UGGGGAAUUUUGGACAAUGGGCGCAAGCCUGAUCCAGCCAUGCCGCGUGCGGGAAGAAGGCCUUCGGGUUGUAAACCGCUUUUGUCAGGGAAGAAAUCUUCUGAGUUAAUACCUCGGGAGGAUGACGGUACCUGAAGAAUAAGCACCGGCUAACUACGUGCCAGCAGCCGCGGUAAUACGUAGGGUGCAAGCGUUAAUCGGAAUUACUGGGCGUAAAGCGUGCGCAGGCGGUUUUGUAAGACAGAGGUGAAAUCCCCGGGCUCAACCUGGGAACUGCCUUUGUGACUGCAAGGCUUGAGUGCGGCAGAGGGGGGAUGGAAUUCCGCGUGUAGCAGUGAAAUGCGUAGAUAUGCGGAGGAACACCGAUGGCGAAGGCAAUCCCCUGGGCCUGCACUGACGCUCAUGCACGAAAGCGUGGGGAGCAAACAGGAUUAGAUACCCUGGUAGUCCACGCCCUAAAACGAUGUCAACUGGUUGUUGGGAAGGUUCCUUCUCAGUAACGUAGCUAACGCGUGAAGUUGACCGCCUGGGGGAGUACGGCCGCAAGGUUGAAACUUAAAUGAAUUGACGGGGUCAUAGCUGUUUCC
rnacentral:rRNA from 1 species